rnacentral:tRNA from 1 species
CGGGGUAUAGCGCAGUUUGGUAGCGCACUUGUCUGGGGGACAAGUGGUCGCAGGUUCAAAUCCUGCUACUCCGA